rnacentral:tRNA from 1 species
CGGGGCGUAGCGCAGCUUGGUAGCGCACUCGCUUUGGGAGCGAGUGGUCGCAGGUUCAAAUCCUGUCGCCCCGACCA